rnacentral:tRNA from 2 species
GCCGGGAUGGCGGAACUGGUAGACGCGCUGGACUCAAAAUCCAGUACUGGAGACAGUGUGCGAGUUCGAGUCUCGCUCCCGGCACCA